ACCUCAAGGUAAAGGAUGAACCAUGACCUCAGGGUAAAGGAUGAACCAUGACCCCAGGGUAAAGGAUGAACUAUGACCUCAGGGUAAAGGAUGAACUAUGACCUCAGGGUACAGAAGGUUCCUCUCUUUGCAUUUAUUUUUUUCAAUUCCGACAAAAAUGGAAGAAAAAAAGUCCAGUUGAACGCAGCUCCAGACGAGUCUUGGGUUACGAUUGUCUCUUAGAUAUGAAGUAUACAUACACCAACACCUGUAAGUCCAUGUUUGGGUCCCAAAUGGCACCCUAUUCCCUAUGUAGUGCACUACUUUUGACCAGGGCCCUAUGGCCAAUGGCACCCUAUUCCCUAUGUAGUGCACUACUUUAGACCAGGGCCCUAUGGCCAAUGGCACCCUAUUCCCUAUGUAGUGCACUACUUUCGACCAGGGCCCUAUGGCCAAUGGCACCCUAUUCCCUAUGUAGUGCACUACUUUCGACCAGGGCCCAUUUGGGAGACAGCCUAUAAGUCCUAUCAAGAUAGAUAGAUAGUCCUCUAUCUAUUUUAGUGUGCCCAAAAGCCUGUUUUAGCAUGGACAGUAACAUUGAGGACUUUCACCAUUUUGAAGUAGUCAACUGGGCAGGACAUCCUGUGGGUUAAGGAAGGAUCACAUAAUUCCAUCGAGGUCACAAGGUGUGGGGGCAGUGAAUCACCAACCUUGGCUUUGUGCCUGUUUAAAUAACACCCUCCAGGUGGCUGUGAAUCGCCAACCUUGGCUUUGUGCCUGUUUAAAUAACACCCUCCAGGUGGCUGUGAAUCGCCAACCUUGGCUUUGUGCCUGUUUAAAUAACACCCUCCAGGUGGCUGUGAAUCGCCAACCUUGGCUUUGUGCCUGUUUAAAUAACACCCUCCAGGUGGCAGUACGCACCCUUUCAGUUUAUUUACCAACUCAUAGAAGGAGUAGAAGAAGAAAAAAUGAACUACUUCAAAAUGGAGAUGGCCACAGUCUGUGCAUUAUGGUCGUCUGUGCGCUCACAGACACCAUAAUGGGACAGAAUACAAUGUUGGCGAUCUCUUAACAUCUCUAUGGUGGCAGGAAUCAACGUGACCUUUAACCUCUAUAUUGGGUUAUUUUCUUUCUUGAUGCUCAGACUGUGGAUCCAAAUAAAGUGUUCCAGUGUGUUCUUGCUCCAGAAUCCCCUAUAGGUACAGAUCUAGGAUCAGCUUCCCCCUCCCCCAAUCCUAACCUUAACUAUUAGUGGGGGUGGUGGGGGGGGGACAAUGUUAAACUGACCCAAGAUCAGUGUCUAGGGGAAACUUCACCCGUCUCCAUGUUUAAUAGUCCAAUGGAGUCCGAAAGAGCAUUGUUUAUUGUUUUGCAUGUGCUGGCCGGUGGGUGUUACAGUGUGUGUUACAGUCUUAAUAGUCCGUAGUGCUACAAAAGAGCUGUUAAAAGAAGGUUCCCCCUGGUGGCAGUGGUCUCCAUGUACAAAGGCUACAGGUCAUGAAGACUGAACGGCUGCAUUCCAAAUGGCAACCUAUUCCCUAUGUAGUGCACUACUUUUGACCAGAGCCCUUUGUGCAGUAUAAAGGGAAUAGGUUGCCAUUUGGGACACAACCCAUGGCCUUGGUUGGGGCGAGGCAGACACUGCCUCGGGUGUCAGGGCCUUGGUUGGGGCGAGGCAGACACUGCCUCGGGUGUCAGGGCCUUGGUUGGGGCGAGGCAGACACUGCCUCGGGUGUCAGGGCCUUGGUUGGGGCGAGGCAGACGCUGCCUCGGGUGUCAGGGCAGGUGACAUCACUUUGUUCCACGGUGGGAAAAUGUUUACUAGCUAGCUACCUCACACCUGCAACACUUCCUCCAUCGCUCUUCCCCCAUCUCUCCUCCUCUUCCUCCACCUCUCCUCAUCCGCCAUCUCUCCUCCUCUUCCUCCAUCUCUCCUCCUCUUCCUUCAUCUCUCCUCCCCUUCCUCCAUCUCUCCUCCUCUUCCUCCAUCUCUCCUCCUCUUCCUCCAUCUCUCCUCCUCUUCCUCCAUCUCUCCUCCUCUUCCUCCAUCUCUCCUCCUCU
ensembl:lncRNA